AUACAUAUAUUUAUAAGGUCCUGUCAGUUUCCUCUAUAAAUUUCAGCCAUUCUCGCCCAUUCGAUCACACACAAAGCAGCUUAACUCUUCACCCAACACACAACUCAUAUCUGCUAUCUCCUGCAAAAUAUCGAACCAAUUCAUCACAGCUCAAAUCUGCUACCUCCUGCAAAAUAGCAAAGAGAGUUGUAAUCAUCUUUAAAGAUUUACAUCAUAGCAGAAUUCUCAUAAAGGUCCACUUGAUAGAAGGCUUUAGCAUUGGCUUUACAACGCAAGAGAAUUUGUGCAUAUUUUAUCUACAGGCUUGUCCUAUCGAGGUUCACCAAUGGGAAAUAAACCUGCAAAGCCUGAGAAGAAGGAAGAGUUGUUCCUGAAAAUUGUUCCUCCUCUUGACCGUGCAUAUACUCGUUGGCUUGCUCGGGAUCUUGAUAGGAUUUAUGGUUUCACUCCACGAAAUCCACGUGCCAUAAAGCCCCCAGACCACUAUAUUGAAUACAUGCGUAUGAACGGCUGGUUGGACCUGGACCUGAAUGAUCCCGACCUUGCACAUUUAUUCAAGUGAACAAUCCGUGCAUGUGGAAAAUCUGGACUAGGGUCGGCAGAGAUAUUCGGUACAAUGCUAGUAAGAUGAGAACCUGUCACUCUGUAAGUAUACCUUCUUCUUGAUUCAGCUUUGAUUAAUGUUUUCUCUUUCUUAUGAAAAAUGGAAUGUACACUACUUUAGAUACAUGCAACACUUGAGCCCAAAUUUGCACGAUUUUUUUGUGUUUGAUUUUUAUAGAAGUAUUUGUAUUAUUUUUUAUUAUAUUUGUUAAAUUAAGUAAAUAUAUUAUCAAUUUGAUUGAUGAUUCGUGUUUCACAUAAAAAGAAUUCAUAUUUUGUAUAUUUUAAAUUUCCACAUUAUUAAAUUAUUCAAAAUUACAAAAUUUAAAAAUAUGGUAGCCGUGCACGAGAGAAAUUCUAGUUGUUUUGAAAUUACUAAUUUCAGCGUUCGUGAAAUUUACAAUUUUGCGCGUAUAUAUAUAUAUAUGUGAAUUUUACAUUAAAAUAGAAUAAGGUUUAGAACUUUAGAUGCUAAAUUUGCUUUUUGUUUGAACAUAAUUAGUUAACGGGCUUGAUGAGUAGUUUUAUUUAUGGAUGUUAUAAUGGGCCGUCGUGAAGGCCCAUCCCAACUUCUCUUGAGGCCCGCUAACAAAAGAGUUUUAGCCGCGUAAAUGCAAGCGCGAGGGGCCGCGUGGCGAGCUUCAAUUGAAAGGGGGCAGUACGCGCCAAAACAUUGCCUGCUUUAACGGUGCCUGCUUUAACGGUGCAAAUUGAGGCGCGAAUCGGCGAUCCAAACACUGCUUGAAAAGAAUAAGAUUCCAAUUUUUAUGACUUUUAAAUAUACAUUUUAUGGUUAAUCGGAAUAUUAUGCACAAAAUUAUGUUUUUCAUUGAUAAUUAUCUGGAUUGCGGAGUUAUAAAAGAAAUAGACAAAAAAUGAGAGGGUUAUUUACACAACCAAAAACGAAGAGGAAUUUCAAUUCUUUCCUAUAACGCCAAAUGUGCAAGUGCUACAGACAAUUUUCUUGAUACCUGGUUAAUGUUUUCCUGAAGCAAAAACACGCUCUAAAAAUAUUGUUUUGGAUUAUAACCUUAUAUACUAGUACAAGAUACCAUGAUUUCUGACGAAGAAUACGAUUUUUUGUUUCUUCAGUUUUUAAUAGGACCCACUUCACAUUAAAUAGGAUUUCUACCCAUACUAAUAAAACCUCAUGUUAUCCCCGAGGGGACACCAAGCGGUAUCAUCUCCUGUGUGUAAACAGUAAGGUCUCGGGUUCGAACAUCACUGCUCCCCCUCCCUAAGUCAAAAAAAUA